GCUGGGCGUGGUGGUGUGUGCCUGUAGUCCCAGCUACUCGGGAGGCUGAGGCAGGAGAAUCGCUUGAACCCAGGAAGUGGAGGUUGCAGUGAGCUGAGCUCCCUCCACUGCACUCCAGCCUGGGUGAAAGAGCGAGACUCUGUCUUAA
ensembl:misc_RNA Metazoa_SRP Metazoan signal recognition particle RNA